UAUAAGGACCUACUGCCGGGGUCUGUCAACGCGCAGUUUCUUAGUACCAAUCGCAUCCCGUACUUACAACCUUCAGUCAGACUCUCUCAAACUACUUCGUUCAAGAUGCCAAAGAAAUCCGACAGCAAACCUAAAGCCGAAAAGGUGACCGAGGAGAAAAAGGUCGAGAAGAAGGAGGAUGCUAAGAAAGAUAGCAAAAAGAAAUAAUCCAGAAAAGAUGCUUCAUUUGUCAUGGCGGAACGUACAGCUGCUAUGAAAAACGCAGCCGCUCAUUUGUUCUUACCCUGGAGACAUGCCAUGCAAAACAGUCCUGAGGACAUCAUCGUACUCUUAAUUUUUCCUAAAAAUGAAUUUGAUUUUAUACCGAAAAUUAUGUUUGAAAUCGAUCAUUCCUCUUAAUAAAUGAUUUAACCUUU